UAGGGAAUCUUCGGCAAUGGGGGGAACCCUGACCGAGCAACGCCGCGUGAGUGAAGAAGGUUUUCGGAUCGUAAAGCUCUGUUGUUAAGGAAGAACGAGUGUGAGAAUGGAAAGUUCAUACUGUGACGGUACUUAACCAGAAAGGGACGGCUAACUACAUGCCAGCAGCCGCGGUAAUACGUAGGUCCCGAGCGUUGUCCGGAUUUAUUGGGCGUAAAGCGAGCGCAGGCGGUUAGAUAAGUCUGAAGUUAAAGGCAGUGGCUCAACCAUUGUAGGCUUUGGAAACUGUUUAACUUGAGUGCAGAAGGGGAGAGUGGAAUUCCAUGUGUAGCGGUGAAAUGCGUAGAUAUAUGGAGGAACACCGGUGGCGAAAGCGGCUCUCUGGUCUGUAACUGACGCUGAGGCUCGAAAGCGUGGGGAGCGAACAGG
rnacentral:rRNA from 1 species